rnacentral:tRNA from 1 species
AUUUUACUUAUUGAUAAAGUAUGUGGCUUUUAACCAUGUAGUUGUAGAUUCGAGUUCUAUAAU